AACGAACGCUGGCGGCGUGGAUAAGACAUGCAAGUCGAACGGAAUUCAGUUUGUAGCAAUACACGCUGGGUUUAGUGGCAAACGGGUGCGUAACACGUGAGCAAUCUGCCGGGAAGUGGGGGAUAGCUCGCCGAAAGGCGAAUUAAUACCGCAUGUGGCCGGGGGUGACAUCACUCCCAAGCCAAAGUCGCAAGACGCCUCCUGAUGAGCUCGCGGCCUAUCAGCUAGUUGGUGAGGUAACGGCUCACCAAGGCUAUGACGGGUAGCUGGUCUGAGAGGACGACCAGCCACACUGGAACUGAGACACGGUCCAGACACCUACGGGUGGCAGCAGUCGAGAAUUUUUCACAAUGGGGGCAACCCUGAUGGAGCGACGCCGCGUGGAGGACGAAGGUCUUCGGAUUGUAAACUCCUGUCAUGCGGGAACAAGAAAGUGAUAGUACCGCAAGAGGAAGAGACGGCUAACUCUGUGCCAGCCGCCGCAGUAA
rnacentral:rRNA from 1 species